rnacentral:lncRNA from 1 species
UGUAUUGACAGCAGUACUAAAGCCAUAGUUCAAGUUGAAGAACUGAUAUUUUAUCUAAGGAUCAAAUACUUUCUGCAUUGCAAUUACCUUAUUCGAUAAGAUCGAAAUAAAGUUGACCUUAGAAAGAUCGACUGAAAGGAGAACUUGGCCGACCCAUUGACUAAAGCAAUCAGAUCUAAUGAGUUUGAUGAUCUCAAAUGAAAGAUGGAUAUUUGAUACCGAUCUAAUUGGCUUUAGUCCAAGUGAGAGUUGUUGAAAAAUAUAUCCUAAAGUUAAUCAUCUAGGUUAUAGAUGAUUGUGCUUCAUACAUGAAUAUGAAUUAAAAAAAUGAUAAAUAUUAUCAGGUAUAUUCAUCAUAAGGAAUACAUCUUCCUAAAUAGAACUCAUAUGUUAUGAUGAAGUCCUUAGAACUACUUUCAAAAUGAUAAAAGAGGAUUUAUC